GACGAACGCUGGCGGCGUGGAUUAGGCAUGCAAGUCGAACGGUAUCAUUCCUUUCGGGGGUGAGAGAGUGGCGAACUGGUGAGUAACACGUAGGUUAUCUACCCUCAAGACGGGGACAACCCAGGGAAACUUGGCUAAUACCGGAUGUGAGCAACUUUUUAGUUUGUUUGAAAGGUGGCGUAAGCUGUCGCUUGGGGAUGAGCCUGCGUCCUAUUAGUUAGUUGGUGAGGUAACGGCUCACCUAGGCAAUGAUAGGUAGGCGGCCUUAACGGGUGGUCGCCCACACUGGGAUUGAGAUACGGCCCAGACUCCUACGGGAGGCAGCAGUCGAGAAUAGUCUACAAUGGUCGGAAGACUGAUAGUGCGACGCCGCGUGAACGAUGAAUCCCUUCGGGGUGUAAAGUUCUUUUAUAUGUGAGCAGUGCUUCUUAUAUUAACAGUAUGGGGAGAGAGAUAUUAGCAUAUGAAUAAGCAACGGCUAACUCCGUGCCAGCAGCCGCGGUAAAACG
rnacentral:rRNA from 1 species